AGAAAAUUGAGAGGACCGGUUCUUCUUCAUCUCUACAUCGAGAAGAACAGAGCACCGACUGAAACCCGAUGGAGUAUUUGAUUGAUUAUCACGAUCCAAGUUUCUCAAGCCGUAUCCAAAAAUCAUCUCUACAUCGAGAAGAACAGAGAAGAAAAAAACGAAAGAGAAGAAAGAAGAAGAAAAAACCCGUUGCAUAUAUUGAAGUUAGGGUUUCAUCUGGUUGAGAAUUUGAUUGGAGUCGGAUAAUGUUGUUGGGUCGAUGAUUACAACGAAUUAAAAGGGGCUGUUGUUGAUUUAUCAAUGGGAGGUUAUUCUGAUGAAGAAUUACAAAACCAGGUAAUUUAGGAUUUCUUAGAACAGAGAAGAAAGAAACGAAAGAGAAGAAAGAAGAAGAAAAACCCGUUGCAUAAAUUGAAGUUAGGGUUUCAUCUGGUUGAGAAUUUGAUUGGAGUCGGAUAAUGUUAUUGGGUCGAUGAUUACAGAGAAUUAAAAGGGGCUGUUGUUGAUUUAUCGAUGGGAGGUUAUUCUGAUGAAGAAUUACAAAACCAGCAACUGCCAGACUUCCAGGUUUCCAUGUCUGUGUUGGUAGCGGAGGCGAGAGGCGACUUCCCGAGUAGUUUACUCAGAAAGGCAUCGAGUUGAUCCUUAACACCUAAAUAGUGAAGGCUGAUCUUGCUUCCAAGACUUUAACAAGUGCAGCUAGAGCAACCUUCAAGUAUGACGUAUUGCUCAUAGCAACUGGUUCUGCAGUUAUUAGGUUGACUGACUUUGGCGUUAAAGGAGCUGAUACCAAGAACAUCUUCUAUUUGAGAGAAGUUGACGAUGCCGAUAAACUAUAUGAAGUUAUCAAGUCAAAGACGAACGACAAAGCUGUAAUUGUCGGAGGAGGAUACAUUGGUCUUGAGAUUUCUGCAAUGUUGAAAAUGAACAACAUGGAUGUUACUAUGGUUUACCCUGAGCCAUGGUGCAGUAAGUCCCGGCCCACUAAUACUGCUCACUUUCUUUUCUUCAAUGUCUAGCGAAAUUAUAUCAAAGGAAAAAUAAACUAGAGAGAUUUCAUGGAGUUAAUUUGGUUGCCUCUCUGUCCAUCCUACACAUUUCUGCUCACUUGCUUUUUCUGUUUUAUGACGUCCAUUCAGUCCAAGGACUAUGAACAAUUACCUCUUUUCUAUCAUAAUGUCAUGUUCUCAGCCACCAGCUAGGUAUUGAUAUUGGAGCUGCCAAAACAUGGGGGUUUAAAGAUCCGGUGUUCAAUGGAGCCUGAAAACGAGAUUGGAUGUGAGCACAAAGCAGCAACAUCAACAACAAAGGGAGAACACUGAAACUUCGGGAGGUAUUAGGAAUCUGAAAACCUAUUUGGGUAACUCAAAUGCCGAGAGAUAAAGCUGGCAUGCUGUUCUCAAAACUUUUAAAACUAGAAUUGCAUUUUUAUAUUUGAAUAGAUAGCAGGCUGGCACCAGAGGACCAUUGAUUUAAUUCAUAAAAAUAGAUAAGUUUUUCCAUAUGCAAGUCAAAAAGUGUUCAGAGGCCAAAGUAUUGCAAUUAAGUUGGCCUAAUAUUUUCGUUGAUAAAUGAUGGUCAAAUCAUUCGUCAUUAUUUUCGUUAUAAGUAGGCCUAAUAUUUAUUUAUGUAUUACAAUGACAACUAAACCUCCAAUUUAGCUUCAGGUUUGGUUUUUAUUGAAGUCUGAUCACAUAAAUGCAAUUUGGUUUUAUAUUCAGAAACAUCUGCACAAUCUUAGUGAUUCAGUUUGUCCACUAACAAUUACAUCUACCCCCCUCUGAUUAAGGUUCAGGUAAAUCUAAUCAUAUGUGCAUGAAACUCCUUGGAAUUUAUAGCAUAAUUAUGUGCUGACAUGAGAAGUUGAGCGUUAUUUUCUUCUUUCAGUUAAUUAAUUUUUACUGUUUCAUUUUUGUGCAGAGUUUAUGUUUGCUAAAAGUGUGUAUGGUUUCCUGCAUCAUAAAGGUGUCUUUAAACUUCCAUCUUUGCUCAAAGUCUCGAUAAAUGUUUCCAAGGGAAUGAAUUAUUUAUAUCAUAAACAAUGAAUUAUUUAUGAAGGAUGCCAAUCUUCUAAUGGAUGAGAAGGAGGUGAAGGAGACCUAAAUGACAAUAUUUAUUCUGUUUUUCUGUAUCAUAAAGCUAUUGAGGCUGCUGAUUUUGGAGUUGGCAGAGUGCAAGUUCAACUGGAACAUAACAGUGGAUGGCUGCAAGGACUGUUGCAAGUUACCAUGUAAUUGCAAUUUACUUGAUGGAGGGGUACCCAUCAAGUUUUCAACAUGAGCAGAAACUCUGAAAAUUCUCAGAAGUUCAGCCUAGAUGACCGUGUACCUAAGUACUCUGCCUCUCCCUCUAUUCACGGUAAAGUUUUCUUAAGGUUCAAUAUUUCAGAUGUGGUAAGUUCUCUUAAAUCCUAAUAGACCUCUUGGAGGAGCAUAAAAAUUAUCAUAAACUUUUUGAUUGGGGUAUUCAGUUCUGCUUAAAUCCUAAUGCAGUGCUUAGACCAACAUAGACUUAAUGUACAAGUAGGUAAGAAUUAAGACUCAUAUGCCAGUUUUGCUACCCAACAAUCUCUUUAUAUUGCAGAUAAAAUUGACACUUUGACCAACAUAGACUUAAUGUACAAGUAGGUAAGAAUUAAGACUCAUAUGCCAGUUUUGCUACCCAACAAUCUCUUUGGAGAAUGAUAAUUGGUGAGUAUUUCCGUUCGAAUUUGAUCUUUUGGAACUAUCAGGAUUUAGUAAGUGACAAAAUCAAAGGUAAUUUACAUGGUAGUCUUUUAGAAAGGAGUGUGCAGGUGUGUUUAUGUGUGGGGAGCAUUUACAUGGCAAGCUUUCAGAA